rnacentral:lncRNA from 1 species
GGAAAAUCACCUCAAUCAGUCGACAUUAACUGCUACUACUACAAUACCAAUGAGAGAGGGAUUAUUGAACCAUAUCAUUCUCCUGCUGCCACAGUGACUGUUCUAGACAGACUUCAGAAACCCUUCAUCAGCGUUAGUGAAGAUGAUGAUCUGCCCACAAUAUCAUGUGAAAUACCACUAUCAGUCAGAGCUAAUUUAACCUGUAGUUUCUAUACUGAAGAUGGAGCUCGUCUGUACAGAAGUCUCUCUCAGAGGAGUCAGAAUGGAGACAAACAUCUUUGUAUGUUUUAUCCAAACUUCCCCACACAGUCAGUGAACAGCAGACAAAUAAACUGUGAUUAUACAACAGUCAUCAAGACUAAUUUCACAUCACCACGGAGCGACACAGUCACCAUCAGAGGUCUUUCUCAGGCCAGACUGUCAGCGUCUGCUUCAGUUCUUCAGGAAACAGACACAGUUGAGCUGAGCUGCGAGAAUGCUGAAGAUCUGGAGAUGGAGAUGUGUGUCUUCAACAUUAAUGGAAGAGAAAGUAACUCAAAAGCAAGUUUCUCUUGUCAGCUCUCACUCACUGCAUCUCAGAUCAGUGUUUGGUCAGAAGAUCAGAGCUCAUCAGUGAACAUAACCUGCUUCUACACUGUGAUGAAGAAAGGAGUUCAAAAACCAUCUCCUCAUUCUGAUCCAGUGACAGUAACAGUCCAGCCUUCAACACCAACCACCACUGCAGAUACAAAUACAACAGCCCUAGAAACAUAUGUUUCUCGUGUUCAGACUUUCACAGCUCAUAAAGACCAACCCAUAUCCAGAUAUGUUACAUGGCUUAUAAUGCUGGUUUGUAUUGGAAUUGGUGUCAUUUUUUCUGGAUUCCUGGGAGUCAUCUGUGUGUGCUGGUUUGCAAGUAAGUCAGGUUUAAUUCAAUAACAUAAAAUCCACAAAACCAGAUGUGUCCAGUCAAGGAAUUGAUAUGAGUGGUUCUGGAGAAGAAGAGAUAUAUUAUGUGACCACUUCUGGACCGGCCACAUCUCAACCUGUAUUUGAGGAUGUUUCAGUCAAUAAAAAACAACAUGGAAAUACAGCGGAGAGUGAGGAUGUUUACCACCUGUACAGCACCAUCCCUGAUAAACUAGUUCAGUCCAGCGCUGGAGAUCAAGAAUACAAUUUGAUCCAGAAACACUGAUGAGCCUCAAAACUUGUUUUAUCAUGUACAGAAUAUCAGUCGUACAGUACAUGUAGAAUCUUAACUUAAAAACAGAUUUUUAAUAUUGGUUAAAAUGGUUAACCAGAGAAAAUGGGUUUCCUCUGCAGAUGAUAACCAAAAAUAGCUUGGAUGUUUCAUGAAAACUGAAAUAAAAGAUGUCUAAUAAAUGGAAAAUA